AUGGCUCCUAUACUAAUUGCAUAUAUAUGUACAUAUAAAUACAUGGAUAUAUACAUGCAAGUACACAAACACAUGCGCAUGUUUCUAAUUCGAACUACACAGAAAGCCAACAAGAACAACCUUCACAUGUUUGAAAAAAGGUAUGGCUACAAUUUAAGCGACUUACAUAGCUACAUAUACACAAUAAACCUUCCUUUAAAACCUCAAUAUAUCAAUUAUGUUUUAGAGGAUAAAAGAAAAGAGCAAAAAGAGGAAGAACAAGCAAAAACAAACACAUCUGAUAAUAAUUAUGUAAAAGAAAAACAAACGAACGACAUAAAGGAAGAACAUCCAAAUAUUACAACUGUUGAUAUUUAUAAUCAAUAUGAGAAAGAAAAUAUAAAUAAUGCAAAUAAUAUUUAUAAAAAUGAAUUAAUCAUACAUAAUAAAAAUAAUAAUAAUAAAAUUCAAAAAUAUGAAGAUAUGUAUGUCCAUAUGUUUUAUAAUGAUAAUUACUCAUAUGAAAAAAAUAAAAACAACAUAUAUACAGAUGACGACCUUAUGAAACAUAUUACUAUGAAAAAUAAUAAUUUAAAUGAUAAUGAAAAAAAAAUUGCCAAAGAAAAAAAGAAAAAAAAAACAUAUAUUAAUUUAUGUUUAAAUUAUUAUAACAAUUUAGAUACAUGUGUAAUUAAAAAAUACCAAAAAAAUGUAGAAAACAAAAAGUACAAAUUUACUCGUCUACACACUUGUAAACCUCAUUAUAUAUUGUUUUCUCGGUGUAUUAAAUAUAGAGAUAAGAAACUAAUGAAUGAAAUAAAAAAAAAAGAAAUAAAUUAUUACAACUCUCUUGACAAAGCCAACAAAACUCUUUACUUAAAUGAAUUUGAAACAAACCUGAGCUAUCACGAGUACCGCAUAAGUAAACUAUUCGAAGGUGUUGAAAAAAUAAAGUAAGAGACACAAUUAAAUUUAAAACACUAAAAAUACAUAAACUGUGACUACAUUGCCACAUGGGUGUGUUGUAUAUAUAUAUAUAUAUAUAUAUAUAUUUUUUUUUAUGGUAGACUGAACAAAGAAUUAAACGAACUAAGGGAAAGGUAUAAUAACAUUGUAAAGAAUGCAGGCACAGUUGACGAAAAACAUACAUGUAUUAGUAAUAUUGAAACAUAUUCCAAUAAAAAAGGAUAUAUAUUAUUAAAUAUUUGAAAU
rnacentral:lncRNA from 1 species